GUGAACGCUGGCGGCAGGCCUAAUACAUGCAAGUCGAACGGCAGCACAGCAGAGCUUGCUCUGUGGGUGGCGAGUGGCGGACGGGUGAGGAAUACAUGGGAAUCUGCCCAGUCGUGGGGGAUAACGUAUGGAAACGUACGCUAAUACCGCAUGCGCCCUUUGGGGGAAAGCCGGGGACCUUCGGGCCUGGCGCGAUUGGAUGAGCCCAUGUUCGAUUAGCUAGUUGGCGGGGUAAAGGCCCACCAAGGCGACGAUCGAUAGCUGGUCUGAGAGGAUGAUCAGCCACACUGGGACUGAGACACGGCCCAGACUCCUACGGGAGGCAGCAGUAGGGAAUAUUGGACAAUGGGCGCAAGCCUGAUCCAGCCAUGCCGCGUGAGUGAAGAAGGCCCUCGGGUUGUAAAGCUCUUUUCGGGAGGAUGAGGAAGGACGGUACUCCCGGAAUAAGUCUCGGCUAACUACGU
rnacentral:rRNA from 1 species